rnacentral:rRNA from 1 species
AUUGAACGCUGGCGGCAUGCCUUACACAUGCAAGUCGAACGGCAGCACGGGUGCUUGCACCUGGUGGCGAGUGGCGAACGGGUGAGUAAUACAUCGGAGCGUACCUUAUCGUGGGGGAUAACGCAGCGAAAGCUGUGCUAAUACCGCAUACGCCCUGAGGGGGAAAGCGGGGGAUCGCAAGACCUCGCGCGAUUAGAGCGGCUGAUGCCUGAUUAGCUUGUUGGUGGGGUAAAAGCCCACCAAGGCGACGAUCAGUAGCUGGGCUGAGAGGACGAUCAGCCACACUGGGACUGAGACACGGCCCAGACUCCUACGGGAGGCAGCAGUGGGGAAUUUUGGACAAUGGGGGCAACCCUGAUCCAGCAAUGCCGCGUGAGUGAAGAAGGCCUUCGGGUUGUAAAGCUCUUUUGUCAGGGAAGAGACACCGGCUCUAACACAGUCCGGGAAUGACGGUACCUGAAGAAUAAGCACCGGCUAACUACGUGCCAGCCGCCGCCGUAA